GGGCCAGACCGGGCCUCAUGCAGCUGCCGUUGAGCUCCUUGCUCUUGGCAUGAGGGGCGGCGUUGCCCAGGGACUGCAGUGAGCACGCUGAGCGCUGGUAGUCGCCCUCCAGGUUCCUUUCAUCCAAGCAGAGUCUGAGGAUCUCUGAAAGAGGCAGGAGGGAGAAGUAAGUCAAGCAGGGAACCUUCUGGUGUGAGGGAUUCUCUCCUUCCCCUCCCAUCUCUGGAAGACAACAACCUAACCUAGAAACUUCUGGAAGACUUUUGACCUCCAAAACCAGUGGAACUGAGCCUCUUCCACGGCGGCCCUACUGCAGUUCCUUGGAUUUCUCCAAAAGAAGAAGAGAGAAAUUGGAUAACUGCUGGACUUCUCUACCAAGAGAUGGAAAAGUUUUCUAACAGAGCAAAUUUUUUCCCUAGGAAAAAAGAAAC
rnacentral:lncRNA from 1 species